UAGAGAGCUUAAAACUCCCUAACCCACUGUGAACAUACCACUGUUGCUUCGGCGGAACGCCCCGGCUGCCUCGCGCACGCCGGGCCUAGGCGCCCGUCGAGGACCCAGACUCUUUGAUUUUUAUAGGGCAUCCUCUGAGUAAUAUUGAAAUACAAAUUA
rnacentral:misc_RNA from 1 species